GACGAACGCUGGCGGCGUGCUUAACACAUGCAAGUCGAACGAAGUGGCGAACGGGUGAGUAACGCGUAAUCAACCUGCCGUUCAGAGGGAGAAAACAGUUGGAAACGACUGCUAAUACCGCAUAACGAAGGCGGGGAUUGCGACUGAUUAGCGAGUUGGAGGGGUAACGGCCCCCCAAGGCGAUGAUCAGUAGCCGGUAUGAGGGGAUGAACGGCCACAUUGGGACUGAGACACGGCCCAGACUCCUACGGGAGGCAGCAGUGGGGAUGCUUCCGCAAUGGACGAAAGUCUGACGGAGCAACGCCGCGGGAGUGAUGACGGCCUUCGGGUUGGAAAGCUCUGUUAAUCGGGACGCGGUACCGGAAUAGAAAGCCACGGCUAACUACGUGCCAGCAGCCGCGGUAAUAC
rnacentral:rRNA from 1 species